UACGUAGGGAUGCGAGCGUUAAUCGGAAUUACUGGGCGUAAAGCGUGCGCAGGCGGUUUUGUAAGCCAGAUGUGAAAUCCCCGGGCUUAACCUGGGAAUGGCAUUUGGGACUGCAAGGCUGGAGUGUGGCAGAGGAGACUGGAAUUCCUGGUGUAAGCGUGAAAUGCGUAGAAUAUCAGGAGGAAUACCGAUGGCGAAGGCGG
rnacentral:rRNA from 1 species